ensembl:lncRNA
GAGGCAGAGAAUCCCAGUGGAGAGAGGGGAACCAGCCAGGCAGAGACAGCAAGGGUGGUUUGUUGCUCCAGUGCUUUUCAGUUCACCUUCACACUCCUGGACCAGACUAUAAUCAAUCAAAGGACCUACUGAAGAGAUGAGUCUUCAAUAAAGACUUGGAGUUUGAGACCGAGUUUCCGUCUCUCACAUGGAAUGUGGUGAUCGAUGGUAUCAAAAGCAGCACUAAGGUCUAGGAGCACGAGGACAGAUGCAGACGCCAUUAAAAGGUAAUUUACCACCUUCACGUGUGCAGUCUCAGUGCUAUGAUGGGGUCUAAAACCAGACUGAAGCAUUUCGUAUUAAGUGUUUGUCUUCAGGAUGCAGUGAGUUGCUGCGCGACAGAUUUUUCAAAAGUUUUUCAGAGGAAUGGGAAAUUCUAUAUAGGCCGACCUAGUUUUAAAAUAUUUUCUGGGUUAAGGUUUGGCUUUUUCAAAAGAGGCUUUAUUACUGCCACUUUUAGUGAGUUUGGUACGCAUCCGGUGGAUAGAGAGCCGUUUAUUAUGUUCAACAUAGGAGGGCCAAGCACAAGAACCACCUCUUUCAGUAGUUUAGUUGGAAUUAGGGUCCAGUAUGCAGCUUGAAGGUUUAGAGGCCAUGAUUAUUUUCAUCAUUGUGUCAAGAGAUAUAGUACUAAAACACUUGAGUGUCUCCCUUGAUCCUAGGUCCUGGCAGAGUUGUGCAGACUCAGGACAACUGAGCUUUGGAGGAAUAUGCAGUUUUAAAGAGGCGUCCGUAAUUUGCUUUCUAAUAAUCAUGAUAUUUUCCUCAAAGAAGUUCAUACAUUUUUUACUGCUGAAGUGAAAGCCAUCCUCUCUUCGGGAAUGCUACUUUUUAGUUAGCUUUGCGACAGUAUCAACAUUUUUUGGGGGAUUGUUCUUAUUUUCCUCAAUUAAGUUGGAAAAAUAGGAUGGUCGACCAGCAGUAAGGGCUCUUCGGUACUGCACGGUCCUGUCUUUCCAAGCAAGAAGACUUCUAGUUUGGUGUGGCGCCAUUUCCGUUCCAAUUUUCUGGAAACUUGCUUCAGAGCUCUGUAUUUUCCGUAUACCAGGGAACUAGUUUCUUAUUACAAAUGUUUUUAGUUUUAAGGGGUGCAACUGCAUCUAGGGUAUUGCACAAGGUUAAAUUGAGUUCCUCAGUUAGGUGGUUAACUGAUUUUUGUUCUCUGACGUCCUUGGUUAGGCAGAGGGGGUCUGGAAGAGCAUCAAGGAAACUUGAUGUUCUUUGGUUGGAGUCUGAGCAGAUUAUUUGUUGCGUUUACAAACGUAGUAAAAUGGUGGUCCGAUAGUCCAGGAUUAUGAGGAAAAACAUUAAGAUCCACAACAUUUAUUCCAUGGGACACAAUUAGGUGCAGAGUAUGACUGUGGCAGUGAGUAGGUCUGGAGACAUGUUGGACAAAACCCACUUAGUCGAUGAUGGCUCUGAAAGCCUUUUGGAGUGGGUCUGUGGACUUUUCCAUGUGAAUAUUAAAGCCACCAAAAAUUUGAAUAUUAUCUGCUAUGACUACAAGGUCUGAUGGGAACUCAGUGAGGAACGCUGUAUAUGGCCCAGGAGGCCUGUAAACAGUAGCUAUAAAAAGUGAUUGAGUAGGCCGCAUAGAUUUCAAGACUAGAAGCUGAAAAGACGAAAACGUCUGCUUUUUUUUUUUGUAAAUUGAAAUUUGCUAUAGUAAAUGUUAGCAACACCUCCGCCUUUGCGGGAUGCGCAAAAUUACAUUUGAUUAAUCCUGCCUUGCAUCACUCAUAAACACCAGUUUGAUCAUGGCCGCUACUCAGUGUGAGGAUGUGGGGUUCUAAAUGCCUUAUAAAGCGUCCAUGUAAAAUGGUAUUGUUGUAUUCAUUGACGAUGAGGGUUAUUUGUGUGUUUAUUCAGGGAACUCUUAUAUAGUGUCUCAAAUGGCACCCUAUUCCCCAUGCACCCUGGUUAAAAGUAGUGCAUUGAAUAGGGUGACAUUUGGGACAAAGCCACAAUGUGUGUAUAUUCAACUAUGUGCUGCAGCACCUUUAUCCAGUGUUGGCCUGAAGGUGUAUUGUGUUGGUCACACGAAAGCAAAAACAAUGUACCUGAAUAUGUAUAAAUGUGCUACAAUGUAUUUUUUAUCCACAACCAAAAUGGCUAAUUUCAUGUGUAACAAUAUAUAUAUACGUGUAUGAUUAUAAAUAUUCCUUCAAAAUGUGGGAUUUUCUCAAAAUAAUUGUAAUCCUCUUUGUAUCAUUUAAUAUAAAUGCAAUUCAUAUAACAUUCCAAGAAAUGGUAGUGUCUUAGGUCUAUUCUCUCUCUCUCUCUCUGUCUCUCUCUCUGUCGUAAAAGUCACUUUCACAAGAACAGAAAAGUGAAAUGAAAAUGUUAGAUUUGCAUUUCACUGCUCAAUUAGUUAUUAUUAGCCUGACUUUUACUUCUCUUUUUUUAAUUAUUUUUUUUACUUGAUCUAUUCUAACAAGAUUGAACUAAAAUACUAUGAUGGGCCUUGUUCUUCUGCAAAUGUUAAAAUCCUCUCCAAAAUGGACUUAAGAGAAAAAAUAGAAAAUAACAUUGAACUUAACAACCUACUGUAUGUACAUUCAGUGUGUGAGACAUAUACACAAUGUAAAUGCAGAGGCAUUGAGUGAGAUGUACUAGGUGCAGCUGCCUGUUCCUACCUGUCCUGUACAAAUUUCAUUGAUUAAUCAGCAUAGUGGGUUGUAUUAAAAAGUGUCUCCUUCAGGGUUGUGCCACUUAAAAUGAGUGGUGCCACUUCAAAUGGAAGGUGUGGUUUUAUUGGAGCUCAUAUAACUUUUAUAGUAACUGAAACUGUAUUUCUG